AUUGAACGCUGGCGGCAUGCCUUACACAUGCAAGUCGAACGGCAGCACGGAGCUUGCUCUGGUGGCGAGUGGCGAACGGGUGAGUAAUAUAUCGGAACGUACCCUAGAGUGGGGGAUAACGUAGCGAAAGUUACGCUAAUACCGCAUACGAUCUAAGGAUGAAAGUGGGGGAUCGCAAGACCUCAUGCUCGUGGAGCGGCCGAUAUCUGAUUAGCUAGUUGGUAGGGUAAAAGCCUACCAAGGCAUCGAUCAGUAGCUGGUCUGAGAGGACGACCAGCCACACUGGAACUGAGACACGGUCCAGACUCCUACGGGAGGCAGCAGUGGGGAAUUUUGGACAAUGGGCGAAAGCCUGAUCCAGCAAUGCCGCGUGAGUGAAGAAGGCCUUCGGGUUGUAAAGCUCUUUUGUCAGGGAAGAAACGGUGAAAGCUAAUAUCUUUUGCUAAUGACGGUACCUGAAGAAUAAGCACCGGCUAACUACGUGCCAGCAGCCGCGGUAAUACGUAGGGUGCAAGCGUUAAUCGGAAUUACUGGGCGUAAAGCGUGCGCAGGCGGUUUUGUAAGUCUGAUGUGAAAUCCCCGGGCUCAACCUGGGAAUUGCAUUGGAGACUGCAAGGCUAGAAUCUGGCAGAGGGGGGUAGAAUUCCACGUGUAGCAGUGAAAUGCGUAGAUAUGUGGAGGAACACCGAUGGCGAAGGCAGCCCCCUGGGUCAAGAUUGACGCUCAUGCACGAAAGCGUGGGGAGCAAACAGGAUUAGAUACCCUGGUAGUCCACGCCCUAAACGAUGUCUACUAGUUGUCGGGUCUUAAUUGACUUGGUAACGCAGCUAACGCGUGAAGUAGACCGCCUGGGGAGUACGGUCGCAAGAUUAAAACUCAAAGGAAUUGACGGGGACCCGCACGAGCGGUGGAUGAUGUGGAUUAAUUCGAUGCAACGCGAAAAACCUUACCUACCCUUGACAUGGCUGGAAUCCUUGAGAGAUCAGGGAGUGCUCGAAAGAGAACCAGUACACAGGUGCUGCAUGGCUGUCGUCAGCUCGUGUCGUGAGAUGUUGGGUUAAGUCCCGCAACGAGCGCAACCCUUGUCAUUAGUUGCUACGAAAGGGCACUCUAAUGAGACUGCCGGUGACAAACCGGAGGAAGGUGGGGAUGACGUCAAGUCCUCAUGGCCCUUAUGGGUAGGGCUUCACACGUCAUACAAUGGUACAUACAGAGCGCCGCCAACCCGCGAGGGGGAGCUAGUCGCAGAAAGUGUAUCGUAGUCCGGAUUGUAGUCUGCAACUCGACUGCAUGAAGUUGGAAUCGCUAGUAAUCGCGGAUCGGCAUGUCGCGGUGAAUACGUUCCCGGGUCU
rnacentral:rRNA from 1 species